ensembl:lncRNA
AUGGCUUUGGGCUUUGACUCAGAACAAAAGACGGCUUUAGAGGAGGUAGUUCAAUUGUAUACAUCAGAAGCAGAUGUGGUGGAGCAGCAUUGUAAAAAGUGGUCAGAGAGGACAAAAAAUGAUGCAAACCCAUGGCCGAAACAAGGGUCAUUUGACCCUAAGUUAAUACUGCAAAUGGAGGGAAAGAUAUAUGAUCACCAGCAUAAAGAUACUAGUGUAAAGAGGGAAACUAAAAGAAAGCGAGAGCUACAGACUCUGAGGGCAUUCAUGACGUUGGCUAAGGAGAAAGCUGGGGAAACGGGGCGAGCACCAGUACAGGUCGCUGAUAACAGUAACCAUAGAGAGUGUGAGGAGAUGAAUUCUGGAGAAAAAGAACUUAGGCCUCACCCCUGGGCCUCAGCAAAUAAGUUAUUGAUGUCCGCGGGGGAACAGUAUCCGGCAGUGGAAUUAAAGCGUGAGUUAGCCGAGGUUGUAAGAUCCGUGGUAGAGAUAGAACAGAGACUGGAGCGAGCAGUUAGAGAGAUAACAUGCAGGCUAGAACACCUAGAAGGAGGAUUAAGAGAUGGGGUACUUCAAGCAGAUAUUUAUGGUGUCAGGGGCCCAGCACCAUGUGUCGAGGGUGCCUCUCAUAAGAAUGUUGGGGGUGCUGAUGCGAGAGAGGAGGUAAGGUCAAAGUGGACCCUCUCUGCACCAGGGUCUCUGACAGGGGAGUUACAGAAAGAGGAAAAGAAUUACGACUAUUUAACCAAAGAGGACCAGGGGAAGGUCAGACAGAGGCUGGAGUUAGAAAAAAUUAGAAGUCAGGACAUGGAAGAAAAGAAGGAGCCCGAGAACAUGGUCAUGGGGAUAGGAGGAGUAAUGGGAGAAUUAGCUGGAGGUCAGGAGGAUGAUUCCCCACAGGGGAGUUUUGAAAUGCCAGUGUUCCCAUUAAGGGUUAAAAUGACAAUGAAGAAAGCAGUACAAAACCCAUUGGGGAAAAUGUUGAGAGCUAAGUUAGACCAGGUUAAAAAAUGGAAGAGGGAGAGAGGAGACAGUGACUCUGAUGACGGGGAAGAAUCAGAAAUAGCAGAACAAUGCCCCGUAAUAAUGUUAACUAAGAAAGAGAAGGAAGAGCGAGAGAAAGAUGAGUUACAGACACCAGUCCAAGCAGUAGAUGUAGUUAAGCCUUUGAUUACGAGGGGUCAGCAGACACACCACCACCAACGGGAACACACAGAUGUGGCAGAGCUUAUCCCACGACUCCCAAUCCUCCAGGAGAGUGAUGAUGCGACUCAUUCUGUCAAUCGACAUGGAGAGUUAAGAGACAGUCUGGAGACGCAGGACACAGAGAGGCCGAGGAAACCGGCCCAAAUGCUCUUGGAGAAUGUGAGUGUGCCUGUUCAGACCCCUCCACAGGCACCGAGGCCGGAUGUCACGCCUGCUCCUGCCCCAUUGUCACUGCAGCAGCCAUCACAGCCAAUGCUCCCUCCCCGACAAGCAAACGGCCCCCCACCCCCGGCAUACAGACAGUCCUAUUGGGCGCAGCCACCUCGGCAAUGGUUACAUUCCUCAUAUCAGAGAUGGGGGCCUGGACAGGGGAAUUACAGAGGAAGAGGCAGAGGGAGAGGGGGCGCUGGCAGGUCACAGAACAAUGUGUAUGGGCCACCGAUAUGUUGGGUUUGUGGCCAACAAGGACAUAUUUCCAGAGUAUGUUCUCGAAGGCAAAAUGUGGGAGGACAGGAACAUGCUCUGCCACAGCGGGGUGAAACCAGACGUCUAGUAUCCCCAUACAGGGGUGUGUAUGAUACAUGCGGCCAAAAGAAUCCUGAAGAGGCUUGUAGUGUCUCCUCCUAA